CCACAUUUUUAAUAUUUAGUUACAAAUAUUACACUAAUUAGCUUUUAAAAAAUAUUUGAUCAAUCAAUUUCAUGUGGUUGUCGGUAAUAUUGUGGUCUGGGAGUUAUAUUUCCUAGGGUCGGGAAUUUUUUUUCCGGGAUCGUUCGUCUGAGGUUUUUUCCGGGUAUUUUUAUUUUUAUUACUAUACCUACAUGUUAUAGUUCAGUGCAUAUACUGUAAAAUUAGGCAUAAUAAUCUGAACCAUUAUAUGCCCCAUACUGCUGCAAUAUGGAUGAUGCGAAUGAUUGUUGGUUAGUAUACACACACUACCUACCUACCUACCUAAUGAUUCGUAAUACCACUUAAAACCUAUAGGUAUAAAGACGAGCAGUGACUACAAAGAUUAAAGAACGAAAGAUUCGUCUAAAUACAGAUCAUUAAAAAUAACACGUUUGCAGUGGCUUUCAUAGAAAUAGAUAUUUGGUAAAAUCGUAUUGAAGCAGUAAAAUUAAAGAUAUUUGUCCCUAUUUUUGUCGUGUUGUUAGUUUGAGUAAUAGAAUAGUGUUGUUAUAGUUUAUCUGCAGCGUAAAAUUGUCUAUGUUACGCACUUGUAAGACGGAGACAACACAAUAUACUACGAGGACAAUGUCAGUAGACAAUAAUCAAUAAUCAAUGAGCCACCCCCAUGAGUGCAUGUUCCCCAGUGCAGGCCGGUCCAGGCAUGAAAUACAAAGAUAACAACUAAAAAAGAAAUGGUUUUAUCAAAAAAAAAAUAAAGUACCUAUGAUAGUAUUGACGUCAUAAUAUAACAUAAAGACAUUAAUAUUUUAGUCGAGCGACAAUAGCAUCACUGCAGCACUAUUCACUAAGCCGCCCUACGCCCCGCCGCCAACUACUCACACAGGCGCAAGUCACUUUUCACGACGCCAUCAUCGAUUUUCAUGUCAUCAAACCAAAUCUGUAAGUUUUGACCGAAUUCUGAUAGAAGAAAGAGUAAAGACCUUAGUCUGUUAUCGACAUCGUUUUCACUACGUCGUCACGAUUCAAAAGCUUAAAGCGGUGAACUUUGGAGAGCCGGUAUAAAUCAUUGUCGGUUUUUGCAGUCAAGAUAAAACUUAUUAUGAGGAAUUAUAAGAAAAUUGAAAUAACAGACAGUAUAGAUAGUAAUGUACAAGAUAUUAUUCAGGAUAGCUGGUCUGAAUAUGAUAUGGAAAUGAUUCGUCUAGAUUUAAUAGUACUUUCUAGAUUAAUCCGGAAUGUUGACAAUGUUGUUUUUGAAUUAUUGACAGUGAAGAAUCCUUAAAACAAAUAAAUAAUAAAUAUUACAUUUUUGAUUCAAUAAUAAGUCCACACAUUAACAUUUAAAAAUGUAUUUGUAUAUUAGAUACAUAUUAUAGUAUAUUAAUACUUUUAAUCACUUUGUACAAUGGAUAUAUAGAUAAUACAAUAUGUAAUAUGAAUUAUGAACUAUGAAGGAAAUAUUCCAAAAAUUCAACACAAAAUUAAAGUUAUACAAUUUAAAAAUGCAUGUUUUAUAUAUUUUAAUAUGUAUAGACUUGAGCAUUUUUCAUUUGUGCUAAUAAAAAAAUUGGAAUUCUACUUAUAGCUUUUUAUAAAGACCAUAAUACGCAUAUUUAAAAAAAUAUUUCAUAAUUCCUACUCCUUUCUUAAGUUAAUCUAUAAGGAUUGUCGAAUUGAUUCUUAAAUAGUUAUCUUGGUAAUUUUGUAUACAUAUUAUUAUAAUAGAAUUUGAAAAUUUAAAUUUAAAAAUAGAAAUUUUAACUUUGAAAGAGCCAAUUUUUAAAUAGUAACUACACUCUGUCCAGAUUAAUAGUGCUCAGUCGUACAGACAAAAACCCUGAACCAAUCACAGAGCGUCUGAUCUCGUCCGGGGGUUCAACAGUUCUAGGCGGCUCAGUAUGCAUUCUCGAAUUCGGGCACUCAUAAUCAGGACAGAGUAUAGAAGAUGCUUUAUGUUGGUAAAUUCUGAUUUUAGCUGCUUAAAUAAUUGUAUUGAAGUACAUGGAAACCUAGAUAACUCAAAUCGGUUGGGGGCAGAAAAUAAAUUUGAGUUGUAGACAUUUGAGUUAUCGAGGUUACACUGUAUAUUGAAGUACUAAGCACACUAGUGUAGUAGCCAGUAAAAUAAAAUAGAUAGGUAACAUUAUUGUAUCUAUGUGAAUAUAUAUUAUUAUUUUUAUUACAUCGUAAAUUAUAAUACAGUUUAUUAGUUUCACAGAGUUCUAAUCCAGUAUUUUAUGAAAAUCAUAUGUUUGCCUGCAAACAUAAAUCGAGUAAAAAGUAUGUUAAAUGUAUUUUAAAUGUUCUCUUACUCGCAAGAUAAAUAAAUUUAAUACAAUUUAUACUGUAAACGUUAUUCACUAAAACAAUAAAUAUAUUUUAAAUUCCUUCAAAUAUAAAAUAUCCUAUAGUAUGCGUAUUAUGAUCAGUAGUGUAAUUUAAAAUUACCUUCAUAGUUUAUAGGUAAUAUUAUUGUAGAAUAAUCCCUAAACCCUAAUUUUAUUUUUAAAUAUUAGACAUUAUUUUAUUUUCAAUACAAAGUAAAAUGUAAACAUUAUUAAAAAUUGAAAUAUAGACAACAAAUACACAAAUAACUACAUUAAAUAAUGCUUAAAAAAAUACUAUAUUAUUUCAUGUGGGUAUUUUUCUGGUACCUAUUUUUAAUAUCAACUGUGAAUGUAAACAUAGGUGUUUUUUUUUUAUCCAUUCUUUGUUAUUUUAAUAUAGAAAUGAAAUA